CCUGUAAGUUAGUGGUUUAUAAUUCAUAUGUAAAUGCAAACACUUCAAAAUAAUCUGUCUUUGAAUUUGAGGAGAUAGUGUGUGCAGAGGAAUAAAAAUAUUAGCUUUUUCCCCCAGAUUAGGAAUGACAGUCCAUUUCUUCUCAUGGACCUUAUAUAGACUCAGUCCUGUAGUAUAUUUGAUAGCAUCCUUUGCUAAAAAUUGUUCUACCUUUGACAGACGUGGCCCUAAGUGUGCGGAGGCUGUGACAUUCAUAGCACAAUGUAUGACAGCUGAAAAAACAGAGGAUUCAUCUUUCUGAUUCCCUUAAAAUAAAGGGAGGGAAUCACACAGGCUUUGUAAGGAUAUAUGCCUCCUCUAGAAGAAACCAAAAGACUGGGUUUUUUGAGUUAUAGUAAUGGCAAAAAAAAAAAACAACUUGACACAAUUACCAUGUGAUCUAUUCAAAAUAUUGAACAAACUUUAACUAAUGCGUCAAUAAGAUCAGUGAUUUGACAUGGUGUUUUUCUACUUACUUUAUCUAUGUCUUUAGUUAAAAACAAAUAAUGUAUAUAUACAGUAUAUGCCAUUGAACAAAACUGGAUCAGAGAACAAAACACAGCUUUGAGUGCUUCCAUGACAAAAAAUAUACAGAAUGUAGUAUGGAAUGCAAGAUAAGGAGGGCCACAGUGGCUUAGGACUAUUCUAUUUUCUCCUAGACUAAAUUUAUUUCAGUUAGGUUGACUGGAAGUAAUUUUAUUGCUGUGCUAAAAGGAGACAAAUUUUUUAACUGAGCAUAACAUUUUACAGAAAAAAAGCACUAAACAAAAAGAUGCCCCAACACUCCUGGAAGGUAUAGAAGUGACCACUUUGAAAGCAGGAGGGAAAAAAUUUUGAUAGAUGAAGAAAUCCAGGGAAAAAUGAGAAGGAGAUUUAAAAUACCCAAAUAUAACUGUAUAAUAAAUUUUAAGAUAACCAAAAAUCUCACACAGGGGAGAGUGUUACUGUCGGGGGUGUGAGGCUUACAGUGGGUUUACAUAGCAAACGUGUUGUAUCACAAGAAUGACUAUUCUAAUUGGGUUUUUUUAGCAUAAUGAUAUUUAAAAAAUAUUUUUUCAUAGUAUUCUCUGAGAAAGUAAUUGUCAAAAUUAUACAGAAAGUAGUCAAAAUGAAAAAAAAAUCAGUAAUGAAUAGAUAAGGUUUUAUUGUGGCUUUUUCACAGUAAUUUUCUGUAAAACAGUACUAUGCUCAGAUAAAGUUAGUGCAGUGGAUAAUUCUCAGGCAUUUGACUGUACUUUCAAGUGGAUGCUUUAUAUUCUAAUUCAACACUUGUGUUGUACGGCAGGUAGUAUUGCCUUACUUUCUUGUUUUGUUACCUAUAUUAUUUCAUGAAAUUUCAUGCUUAUUUCAUGAAAGUAGGAGUCUUCAAAACAGAUGUAUAGUUUGUUCUGGACUAGGAUAUCUGCAUUAACACAUAUUUGCAAAAGCACCAACAUUAGCAUUUUUGGUAGUUCCAUUUCUGUCAUGGUAGCAAAGACUUACCUACCUGCAUUUUCACAGGUCACACAAACAUUGAUGGAAUAAGGUUUUUGCCCUAAACUAGGGUUGUGAUUUCUUAAUGCUGCUCUAUUGUUUUGACUCUGUUCAGUUCCACAGAAAUAAAGCAUGGUGAAGACCUAAUAGGUCACCUUAUGUUUUUCUAUGCCACUGAGGGAUUAUUCCUUAAAGUGUUUUAUCUUGAAAAGAACAGGAGCCCACUACUGCCCCGGUAAAUUUUUCAACAGUACAACAGAACUCACUUUGUUCAUCGUACAUUUGAUUUUUCUUCAUAUCAUUCAGAUACUUCCAUUUAAUGAAAAUAAUCUGACAAACAGAAAAUAUCAUUUUUCCAGACACAUUUCCAGACACUUGGAACCCAAUUCUGCAGUCACUACUAAUGUACAAUGAUGAAAAAUUAGUCUCCAAGUAUAAUUCUGCAAGAUGCUGGGCACACCCUGUGAAGUUUUGCACGUCUCUCAAACUCAUCACCCUGUGGUGGAAUUCCAGACCCUUUUGCCUUUGUAUGAAGACUUCCUGAUAACAUUAUCCUACCUUAUUUGACCUAGAUAUUUGACCUUCUUCUGGCCUCUUUUUUUUACUAACAGUGUUACCCAUGGUGCCCUGGCUGCCUUCCUCGCCUGUGUUGUUUUGUCUCUUCCUCUCCAUUCACAUCCUCAGCAAACUGAUACCCACCUUCUUCUUAGGAAGAGCCAUGGGGAAUUCCAGGUUUUGCCAUCACAAUUAAAGCAAGGUGCAAUGAUAUCCUUGCCUAUGCAGCAGAGUAACUUCCUUGCUGUCAUUCUUAGUUACCUUACUGGAUUUCUAUAAACUCUUAAUUGAGAAGUUCCUCAAGGGCUGCUUGCAAGAUUGCUGAUGUAUUUGGCCUAGUGCUAAAAACGAGCAUGGCUAGUGACCUAUCUUCCUGAGAAAGAUGGCUGAGAUGUCUUUGAAAUUAUUCCUGGAAUUAGACUAGCAUUAGAUCUCCUCUACCAAACUGAGGUAAUACUGUUGAAAGGCAAGAAAUCUGAAGUGAUGUAUGUCCAACUGCCUGUGCAUUGACAAUGUUAACUGUGAAAAAGAUUCCCCAUGCCUGGGGCCAAAGGAAGCAGUCAGAAUGGGUAAACCUGAGGACAUCAGUCUCUUCUGAGGGAUAUUUGGUUGGUGAAGCCAAAAGCUUUUCCAGGUAAUUUCUAGGUGCAGGUUUUAUCAACGAUGAUAGCCCAGACUUCUGCCAUAAUGAAGCACCUUCUUGGGGGUUAACUAACUAGUUACUUACCUAACAAUACUCAGCAUAAGUGCAAGCACAGGAGUGGUGUUGCUUUUGGUUAGUUUGUAGAGCCUUUAAAACCUCAGAGAUUCCACUAUGAGAAAAUCAGACAAUUUAAAAUGAUAGCGUAGGCAGUAAAAUUAUGUAGCGUAUUGCUGCUAAGCCUUCUGCUUGAAAAUUCACAAAUUCUGCUUGCUUUAACUCUUCACCAGAUCAGGUUUUGGUUACAAUUCUUUUCUAUCAGGGUGGACCUGACAUAAAAUGAUGUCAAAGUCAGCCACAUUAGGAUUACACAUAUAAAUAAGACAAGUACAAUUUGCCAAGUGAUAUGUAUGAAAAUAAAUUUUCUUGCUACGGAAUGAUUUUUUUGAAAAGUUUUCUUUAAAUGGUAUUAGCUAGAAAGCAGCAGAAAAUAUGCCCUGGUCCGAGGUACAUCUGUCUCCUUCUGUUUCAUCAAGGUUACAUAAGUUAUGUAUGGCAUUUUCAUUAUGGAUAGUAGUCUGGCCUUAGAAAGAUAUUAAUUAUUAUGAAAUGUCUUUCAUUAAUUGUUGCUCCCUUGUGAGUAUUUUAAAAAUUGUUUGUGUUGAAAGAGUAAAUGAUAAACACUAUUAAGAUCUCUGUAGUGUAAAAUGAAAUACUGCCUCUCCUAAUAAUUUCAGCAAAAUUGGUACCAUUUAAACUAUGUUUAAUUAUUGUUUAAUUAUUUAAUUAUGUUAUAUGUAUAUUGUGCUUCUGCCACCUUUGUUGGGAGGAGAAAUAACUUCCCAACAUUACUGUUGGCAUUAUGCAACCUGAAAAAUGUGCACCCCUCAAAAAAUCAGGGUGCUAAAAUUACUAUCACAAAACAAAUUAAAAUGCGAAACCCAUUGAAAACAAUAUGCUUCAUGUUUAGAAAUUCCAUUUACUCCAAAGGCGUGACCUGAUUUCAGCGGGAAGUCUAUAAACAGGAGGUUGAAAAUCUAGGUUCUUAAUAACAAAAUCCUCACUUCAAAAAAACAUAGGACAAAGGAUCAAACUGAAUUAAGAAAAGUGUGAACAAAAAUGUUUUUCACAAAUCUGUCAAUGUCAGUAAUUUCUUUCAGUUGUCAAAACUCAUGUUUACAGAAGUUAAUUCAAAGAUAAAAAAUAUUUUAUGUACUAGGAAGAUUUAUAGGUAUCUAAACAUUUCUUAAAGACAAAAGUUGCUGCACUUCCUAAUAACUGUCUCAAUUGCACAUCUGUUGUCAAGUUAAAAUAUGUUACAAUACAUAUAUUUUUAUAUAUACAGUUCUCUUUAAGAGGAAGUAUACACAAAAUUGU